rnacentral:rRNA from 1 species
AUGGAUCUGUUUGUAAUUGAUUCAGACAGUGAGUCAUACAGUGGAACGAGUGACAGUGAGGACCAAGAAGAAUGUGAAUUUACGGACCAUGCGCAGAGCAUCUUAUCAAGCUUGGACGAAAGCAUCGGCAAGAUUGAUGAUUUCCUUACUUUUGAAAGAGGGUUUCUUCAUGGGGACAUAGUCUGCCCUGUGUCUGACCCCUCAGGUCAGUUGGGCCGCGUUGUUGGGGUUGAAAUGUUUGUGGACUUGGAGACAUACUCUGGUGAUAUAAUAGAAGAUGUCAACAGCAAGCAGCUUUCAAGAGUGAGAUCCUUUGUCUCUGGUGACUGCGUGGUUAUGGGACCAUGGAUUGGGCGGGUGAUCAGGGCAUUUGACCUGGUCACCGUUGUGUUCAGUGAUGGGGCAAAGUGUGAAAUGCUGUUAAGGGACUCUGAGGUACUGAAGCCCAUUCCUCCAAUCCUUUUUGAAGAUGCACCUUAUUUUUAUUAUCCAAGUCAACGCGUGAGGAUUGUUCAUCCCUCCGUGUCCAAGUCAGGAACAUGGUUUUCUGGAUCGUGGAGGGCCAGCCGAGAUGAAGGUGUUGUGUCUCAUGUUGAUGUGGGGCUGGUGCAUGUGAACUGGAUAACCUCGGUGGCAAAUGUUUGGGGUGACCGAUCAUCAAGUCCACCAAACUUUCAGGACUCAAAGAAUCUCACUUUGCUGUCAUGCUUCCCUUAUGCUAACUGGCAGUUGGGUGAUUGGUGCACUCUCUCUGCUGGUCAUGAUGGAAGUCUCCCAAGUGAAGACCGUAAGUUUUCUCGAUAUUCUCAAACUUAUGUUGUUGCUAAGACAAAGAGCACUUUUGACGUUCUAUGGCAAAAUGGAAGCACAUCUCUUGGGCUAGAACCUUAUAUCUUGGCUCCUGUUAGCACCCCCGGUGAUCAUGAUUUUUGGCCAGGGCAAUUUGUCCUGGAGAAACUGGCAGUAGAGGAAGCUGCCGAACGUCAGCGGAUUGGGAUAGUGAGAAAUGUGGAUGCACUUGAGCGGACUGCAAACGUAAAAUGGAUUGUUCCAGUGGAUGAUGACAUUGUCAGAUAUGGAAGUGACUCCACUGAGGAGACAGUGAGUGCUUAUGAGCUAGUAGAGCACCCGGAUUUCUCUUUUUGCACUGGGGAAGUCGUUAUCAGAUCAGCUCUGAACAUCGACAAGUCUGAAGCAGAUCUCACCAAUGGGACCAUGACAGUUAGCAGGAAAAGUUUAGAUACCUCCUCCGGCUUCUUGUCAUGCAUUGGCAAUGUUCUUGGGUAUAAGGAUGAUGGAAUUGAAGUACAAUGGGCUAGUGGUGUGAUAUCCAAGGCGCAGCAUUUUGAAAUAAUUGGAUUAGAAAGACUUCUAGAUAAUUCACUAGGAUCUGUGAAUGAGGUGCAUACUUUUGUCGACGACGAGGCUGAGCAGGAAACAAUUCGCCAUGAGAGUACUAAGAAUGCCCUGGAAGAGUCUGGUGAAGACUGCACUGGUUCAUUGCGCAAUGCUUUCUACUUCUCCAAAACAGCUUUUAAUUUUCUGACGAAUGUGGCUUCUAGUUUCUUUGGUGCUCAUGAUUCUACAUCAUCUAGCUCAAUUACUGCAGUUCCUCUGUAUCAAAUUGUGAAGUCAGCAGAUCUACAUUCGUCUGCAGAAGAAUUUUCCGUUGUGGAGUUGGUGAUGCAGACCGAGAAGCCACAGUUACCUUCAGAAAAUGACGUAAAAAUAUUUGAUGUUGUGGUGGACUGUUCUGAUCAUCAUUUUGUGAAGGAACGUGGCCAUGAAAAUGUUAAAAGAGGUUGGUUGAAGAAGAUACAACAGGAAUGGACAAUCUUACAAAAUGAUUUACCAGAUGAUAUCCAUGUUAGAGUUUAUGAGGAAAGGAUGGACCUUCUCAGAGCUUGCAUUGUUGGGGCAGCUGGAACGCCUUAUCAUGAUAAUUUAUUUUUCUUUGAUAUUUUCUUCCCGCCGGAUUAUCCUCAUGAACCACCUUCUGUUCACUAUCACUCCGGAGGCCUCCGCCUCAACCCAAACUUGUACGAAACCGGCAAAGUAUGUCUAAGCCUUCUCAAGACAUGGGCAGGGACUGGUAAUGAGGUGUGGAAUCCGGAGGGUUCGACUAUUCUUCAACUGCUGCUAUCCCUUCAGGCUCUUGUUCUCAACGAGAAGCCUUACUUCAAUGAGGCGGGCUACGACAAAUUUGUGGGGAAAGCUGACGGGGAGAAGAACUCCAUCACGUACAACGAGAAUGCUUUCUUGCUGUCUUGCAAGUCCAUGAUGUACAUUUUGCACAAACCACCAAAGCAUUUUGAAAAUUUCGUCAAGGAGCACUUCACUCGCCUCGCGCCGCACAUCCUGGGAGCCUGCAACGCAUACCUCGGCGGCGAUCUCGUCGGUCAUGCUGGCGACAGCACGUACAUAUCAGAUGAUGGCUGCAAGAGCUGCUCGACCGGAUUCAAGAUCAUGCUCGGCAAGCUACUGCCGAAGCUCGUCGCCGCCUUCUCCGAAGCCGGGAUCGCCCGUGGCCAGUGA